rnacentral:ncRNA from 1 species
CAAAAUUUUUAUUCUAGAUAUAAUUAAACUUUUUUUUAUAUACAUGAAAAACAAAAUAAAUUUUUAAACUCAGUAUAAAAAAUUUUUAAUAUAUAAAAAUUAUAAAAAGAAAAAAAGACAACUGAUUAAUUAAGUGCCAGCAAUCGCGGUCAAACUUAAAGUUAAAUUAAUUAAACGGAAAAUGUAGUUAAAUAAAAGAAAAGAAUUUUAAAAUUUUAAUAAAAAGUCGAAUUUUUAAUUAAAUAAAAAAUUCAAAAAAUUUUUGAAGCUAUAAAAAUUUUUUAAAAAAAGAGGAUUUGAUACCCUACUAUAAAAGAUAAAAAAAUUAUCCCGAGUAAUAAUAAAACAUUAUAAAAUCAAAGAAUAUGGCAGCACAAAAAAAAGUCAGGGAUACUUGAUUAUUUAAAUUUUGAUAAUCCACAAAUACCUUACUUAAAAAUUARAUAAUUUCUAUAUCUCCGUUUUCAGAAAUUAAUAAAAAUUAAUACAAAUACUCUAAAUAUUAAAUAUUCAUUUAAUAAGAAUUCAGGUCAAGACAGAGUUUUUUUAAGAACAAUUGAGUAUCAUUAUAAUUAAAAGAAUAAAAUUUUUUAAAAACUAAAAAACUUUUAGAGAACUUGAAAGUAAUAUCUUUUCAAAAAAAAGAUAUGAAUAAAAAUUUUUGUGUGUACAAAUCGCCCGUCACUCUCAAUUAAAAUUAAGAUAAGUCGAAACAUAGUAAGUGUAUCGGAAGAUGUACUUAGAUUUUA